GCUAGAAACGUGAGUACUAUAUAUGGCCAUGUAAAGAUAAUAUUAGGCUUUGGCGAAGCCAAUUUUACAAUGCCAAGGGGAACUCAUUUUAAGUAAAUGAUGCAUUAUAUUCCCCUAAGUCUCAUAGAAACUUGAUAAGUUUCAAAGAUAUCCGAAGUAAUGGAUAUCAUAUAGAGACUAUGAAUAAAGAUGGCAUUGAAUAUCUUUGCAUAAAAUCCGAGAGGCAAUAUAUAUUAGAAGAAUUGCCAAUGCUAUCCUCUAGAUUAUAUUGCACAAAAAUAAAUAUAAUCGCAUCAGAUGUUACAGUAAACUCGAGUGACAAUCACUCGUGUGAGUUUACUAGUACAUUUAAGAUAUGGCAUGAAAGACUUGGACAUCCUUGAUCAGUCAUGAUGCGAAAAAUUGUGCAAAAUUCUAAUGGCCAUCCAUUGAAAAACCAGAAAAUAUUUAAAUCUGGUGAGUUUUCAUGUAAAGCAUGUUCUCAAGGAAAACUCAUAAUAGGACUAUCGC
rnacentral:sRNA from 1 species